UGGGGAAUAUUGGACAAUGGGCGCAAGCCUGCUCCAGCCAUGCCGCGUGAGUGAUGAAGGCCCUAGGGUUGUAAAGCUCUUUCACCGGUGAAGAUAAUGACGGUAACCGGAGAAGAAGCCCCGGCUAACUUCGUGCCAGCAGCCGCGGUAAUACGAAGGGGGCUAGCGUUGUUCGGAUUUACUGGGCGUAAAGCGCACGUAGGCGGACUUUUAAGUCAGGGGUGAAAUCCCGGGGCUCAACCCCGGAACUGCCUUUGAUACUGGAAGUCUUGAGUAUGGUAGAGGUGAGUGGAAUUCCGGGUGUAGAGGUGGAAUUCGUAGAUAUUCGGAGGAACACCAGUGGCGAAGGCGGCUCACUGGACCAUUACUGACGCUGAGGUGCGAAAGCGUGGGGAGCAAACAGG
rnacentral:rRNA from 1 species